AACCCAAAAAUGAAGGCCGGGCCUGGAUCUCUCGGGGUUACAGCCUUGCUGAAUUAUUCACCCUUGUCUUUUGCGUACUUCUUGUUUCCUUGGUGGGUUCGCCCACCACUAGGACAAACAUAAACCUUUUGUAAUUGCAAUCAGCGUCAGUAACAAAUUAAUAAUUACAACUUUCAACAACGGAUCUCUUGGUUCUGGCAUCGAUGAAGAACGCAGCGAAAUGCGAUAAGUAGUGUGAAUUGCAGAAUUCAGUGAAUCAUCGAAUCUUUGAACGCACAUUGCGCCCUUUGGUAUUCCAAAGGGCAUGCCUGUUCGAGCGUCAUUUGUACCCUCAAGCUUUGCUUGGUGUUGGGCGUCUUGUCUCUAGCUUUGCUGGAGACUCGCCUUAAAGUAAUUGGCAGCCGGCCUACUGGUUUCGGAGCGCAGCACAAGUCGCACUCUCUAUCAGCAAAGGUCUAGCAUCCAUUAAGCCUUUUUUCAACUUUUGACCUCGGAUCAGGUAGGGAUACCCGCUGAACUUAAGCAUAUCAAUAAGCGGAGGAAAA
rnacentral:rRNA from 1 species